rnacentral:rRNA from 1 species
CCCAACCUUCCCCCCCGUGUUGCCCGAACCUAUGUUGCCUCGGCGGGCCCCGCGCCCGCCGACGGCCCCCCUGAACGCUGUCUGAAGUUGCAGUCUGAGACCUAUAACGAAAUUAGUUAAAACUUUCAACAACGGAUCUCUUGGUUCCGGCAUCGAUGAAGAACGCAGCGAAAUGCGAUAACUAAUGUGAAUUGCAGAAUUCAGUGAAUCAUCGAGUCUUUGAACGCACAUUGCGCCCUCUGGUAUUCCGGAGGGCAUGCCUGUCCGAGCGUCAUUGCUGCCCUCAAGCCCGGCUUGUGUGUUGGGCCCCGUCCCCCCCGCCGGGGGGACGGGCCCGAAAGGCAGCGGCGGCACCGCGUCCGGUCCUCGAGCGUAUGGGGCUUCGUCACCCGCUCUAGUAGGCCCGGCCGGCGCCAGCCGACCCCCAACCUUUAAUUAUCUCAGGUUGACCUCGGAUCAGGUAGGGAUACCCGCUGAACUUAAGCAUAUCAAUAAGCGGAGGA